rnacentral:sRNA from 1 species
GUUUAUGUCUUUGUGUU